UACGGAGGGGACUAGCGUUGUUCGGAAUUACUGGGCGUAAAGCGCACGUAGGCGGAUUUGUAAGUCAGGGGUGAAAUCCCGGGGCUCAACCUCGGAACUGCCUUUGAUACUGCAAAUCUCGAGUCCGGAAGAGGUGAGUGGAAUUCCUAGUGUAGAGGUGAAAUUCGUAGAUAUUAGGAAGAACACCAGUGGCGAAGGCGGCUCACUGGUCCGGUACUGACGCUGAGGCACGAAGGUCAGGGGAGCAAACGGG
rnacentral:rRNA from 1 species